AUCUGGAAUCUUCUCCAUACCAUGGAUUUCAUAUCCUGUUUUGAAAUAGACCCAUUUAUAUAAGCAUUGGCAAUAGUCCUUGACUAAUCAAGCAGCGCACCCAUUGAAACAGAGCCGAUGGAGAGCCGACUCCCUGUCGUGACCCAGGGGAGUCAGAGUUUGGAGGAAGGCUGAAGUGAAGUCAGGCGGGCACUAGUGAAGUGAUCGAUCUGAUUGGGCAGACUUUUGUCAGUGGUAGCUGGCCAGUGUGAUUAGGGCCAACAGCAAGCAGACCAUGUCAGUGGAAAUGAUGAUAAACCUUGUGAUGGUGGUAAUUGCAAAAGAGCUGCCUCUUCAAACACCAAGCCCACUGAGUCAAGAGACACAGGAUGGGUGUUCCCAGAAAAAUAACAAUGGAUCAAGUGAGGGAAGAGCAUCUAAUAAUGAAGGUGACGAUGGUGAAGAAACGCCACAUAGAAGAAUUGCAAAAGUAAAGCGGAGUCAUGAACUGGAUGUGGAGGAGAACCCUCAGAUGUCUGUAGAGGAAGCCUGGGAUAAACUGGGAUUAAAGCGCAGCCACGACCCCAUGUUUGAGAGUGUGCUGAAGUUUAAGCCCCAGUCACCACCAGGGUAGGAAGGCUGGGAGGAAUAGGAAGCUACAUGGAGGUAGGAGUGCAUCCUGCCACAGAGCCCAAGCUGAGCAAGACCUUUCAAAAAGUUCAGAGAUUCCUCCAGAAAGUUCAGAAAGAUAAUGACACAGCUGUCCCAGACACACCAGUUGACCAGGCAAACAGGGGGAGCCCUGCUUGUCCAUUUGCAGAGGGAAAAGAAGAAAGACUGGAGGAAGAGGAGCAGGAAGAUAGGAGGGGGGAAUACCCCUCUGGAGUUGGAUAGUACUGAGCAACCCUCUCAUCAGAACCUCUUCACCAGAAUAGAAGAUGAAGAGGAUGAUGAGAUUAAAUUCAGAAGAGAGGUGUACUCACUGGACAUACCAGACUACUUAGUUCCCGGAGCACCUGAACACAAUAACACAGAGGCUACUGGGAAGAAAUAGAAGAACAAUAAUACCAAGAAAAGAGGGAAAUGUGGAGUGAUGCCAGCUGAGAUUGCAGUGAAGCCCGAGCUGGCUAAGUACUGGGUCCAGCACUACCGCCUCUUCUCCAGGUUCGAUGAGGGCAUCAAAUUGGAACAAUGCUAGCCAUUGACAUCGACCCAGUGCGUCUGUCCCUGCACAACGCCCAGGUCUAUGAGGUGGCCGAGCGCAUCGACUUUGUGCAGGGAGACUUCCUAAAGCUGGCACCACGUCUUAGGGGGGAUGUGGUGUUCAGACUACCUCAGCGCAGACAUCUUCGAUAUCAAGAGUAUGAUGACUUCAGAUGGAUAUCCUUUAUUCCUCUCGUUAUAGCUGCUCUCAGGCUUUUAUAGUCAGGCAACGGGCCAGACUCCAGCACUCAGGGCAGGGUAGAGGCAGAGGGGUAGAGGUAGAGGCAGAGCGGUAGAGACCGAGGCAGGGCUUUUGAGAACAGGGCAGAGUGGUUGAGGCCAGGGCAGAGCGGUAGAGACCGGGGCAGAUGAAGAGCAAGACAUGCCUCUCUAUUCUGGGUCAGCUGCAGCUUAACUAGGUCUUUUUUUGCAGCACUUGACAAUAUGACUGGACAACAAUCAAGAUAAGAUAAAACAGGAGCCUGCAGGACUUGCUUUGUGGAGUGUGGUUUCAAAAAAGCAGAGCAUCUCUUAAUUACAGACAGACUACUCCCCCACCUUUGAAUCUAUAUGUUUUGACCAUGACAGUUUACAAUCUAAGGUUACACCAAGUUAUUUAGUCUCUUCAACUUGUU